rnacentral:rRNA from 2 species
UUUAAAGUCUAACCUGCCCAAUGAGGAGUUGAAUGGCCGCGGUAUUUUGACCGUGCAAAGGUAGCAUAAUCAUUAGUUUUUUAAUUGAAAGCUGGAAUGAACGGUUGGACGAGAAAAUAACUGUCUCAAUUUAAUUGAAUUAGAAUUUUAUCUAUAAGUAAAAAAGCUUAUAUAAUUUUAAAAGACGAGAAGACCCUAUAGAGUUUUAUAUUUAUAGAUAUAUAAAGUUUUUAGUAUAUUUAAAUUUUAUAUGUUUUUAAGUAUUUUAUUGGGGCGAUAGAAAAAUUAAAUAAACUUUUUUUAUAUGAUUACAUAGUUAAAUGAAUAAAUGAUCCAAUAAUUUUGAUUAUAAGAUUAAAUUACCUUAGGGAUAACAGCGUAAUUUUUUUUUAGAGUUCUUAUCGAAAAAAGAGUUUGCGACCUCGAUGUUGGAUUAAAAUUAACUUUUGGUGCAGAAGCUAAAAUGUUGGGUCUGUUCGACCUUUAAAAUUUUACAUGAUCUGAGUUUAAACCGGCGUGAGCCAGGUUGGUUUCUAUCUUUAAACAAAUUAAGUAUUUUAGUACGAAAGGAUCAAGUACUUAUAAUAAUUAUUAUAAAUUGAAUAUUAAUA